rnacentral:rRNA from 1 species
UUGCCAGACUCCUACGGGAGGCAGCAGUGAGGAAUAUUGGUCAAUGGACGAGAGUCUGAACCAGCCAAGUAGCGUGAAGGAUGACUGCCCUAUGGGUUGUAAACUUCUUUUAUAUGGGAAUAAAAUGUUCCACGUGUGGGAUUUUGUAUGUACCAUAUGAAUAAGGAUCGGCUAACUCCGUGCCAGCAGCCGCGGUAAUACGGAGGAUCCGAGCGUUAUCCGGAUUUAUUGGGUUUAAAGGGUGCGCAGGCGGAAGAUCAAGUCAGCGGUAAAAUUGAGAGGCUCAACCUCUUCGAGCCGUUGAAACUGGUUUUCUUGAGUGAGUGAGAAGUAUGCGGAAUGCGUGGUGUAGCGGUGAAAUGCAUAGAUAUCACGCAGAACUCCGAUUGCGAAGGCAGCAUACCGGCGCUCAACUGACGCUCAUGCACGAAAGUGUGGGUAUCGAACAGGAUUAGAUACCCUAGUA